rnacentral:lncRNA from 1 species
UUUUGUUUUUCUUUUUUUUUUUUUGGUUUUCAGACACCAUAAUAACCACUUGGUACUGACCAAUCCAUAGCUAUUAGUGAACAAAAAUAGUUUUUCACAUGCACAAGUACCAUUUUCCCACAGAAAACACUUAACCAUCGGUGAGGUACCGAAAACCUAUGCAUACGGUAAACAUCUGCUUGUUAUGAUUCUCUCCUAUUAUUUCUACGACGGAAGAACUCAUCAUCUGUCUCUCCGACUCAGAGAGUCAAAAAUCAGUGGAACGCAGCACCUCGGAUGCGACCACAGUCCAGAGGGCUCUGGUCGGAAAGGUCACCGCUGCCUUUUCAACCCCCGCCAUAACCGCGAAAUGCUGGUGAUGCCACCACAUCCCCGAUGCAGAACAGAAGCAUCCCAGGUCCCUUCCACAGGGAAGGGUUUGCAGCUCAGGGCGUAGAGGGAUGAGCCAGGAGAGGCCCGCGGCCCUGGAGACGGCGCCCAAGGGAUGGAGGCCGCGCUCCGCUGCGCCCUGGCGCGCGCGGGUGGGGGCUGGGGGAUCCGGGAAUGGGCACCGGGAGGGUCCUCCCGAGGGGACA